GCAAACUUGGUCAUUUAGAGGAAGUAAAAGUCGUAACAAGGUUUCCGUAGGUGAACCUGCGGAAGGAUCAUUAAAGAAUAAACUUGAUAGACUGUUGCUGGUUCUUUAGGGAACAUGUGCACGUUUGUCAUCUUUAUAUUUCCACCUGUGCACCUCUUGUAGAUCUAUGCACUGUUAUUAACUGAGCAGUCUAGGCUUCUUAGUUGUGUGAGGUUUGCUGGCUUAAAAGAGUCAGCUUUCCUUGAAGUGUGUUAGGUCUAUGUUUUUUAUAUACACCAUUUGAAUGUAAUAGAAUGUAAUAAAGGGUCUUUGAACCUAUAAAAACUAUACAACUUUCAGCAACGGAUCUCUUGGCUCUCGCAUCGAUGAAGAACGCAGC
rnacentral:misc_RNA from 1 species